UACAAAAAUUAAGUUCGUAUAUUUAUUAACGUUGUAAAAAAAAGAAACGGCUAUUUGUUUCCGGUUAACUAGUAAUUAUAAAAGCGUGUGAUGGACACAUAUGGGACUAUCCAAGAUCCAACAAAAGGACAACUAAACUAUUUACAUUUAUGUUGGAUAAUAAACAGUAUUGCUUCCAAUUUCGUGAGGAUGAUAUUUGAUGUUGAAUUCUAUCCUGCAACACUGCCAGCUACGUUAAGAAGAAAUUUCCAAAAAAUAAAUGAUUUAAAACAGCAAAAAAUAAUAAAAGAACCACAGUAUAGGCUGUUAAACUCAGUAGACGGUAAAAUUAUAUUCCUAGCUGCUAUAAUGUUUGUACAUUAGUCUACUGAAAAUGACAAUUAAACAUGUGAAAUGCAAUUACAUUGUACAAGUAACAGUUAAUAAGAUUGAUAAUUUGAUGAUCAAAAAUGUAUUAAUUGAAAAGCAAAAGAAAAAUCAAGCAACAAAAAAUAAUGUGUAUGUUCUCAUGAAUGUUUCCUUUUUUUAUUCAGUAUCUUCAAAAAAACUUGAUUUAACGCUGAUGGUAUGCUUACUUCGCCAUUUGGCAGAAUUUCAAAUAGGAGAGAAUAAACCGCAGUCGCACGACGAAUCUGUAGCUGCAGACUUAUCUAGAUUGAAAUAUUACAGAAAUAAAAUUGUACAUGCAGCGGGUGGAACCAUCACAGAUGACAAUUUUAACAAAUAUUUCGCAGCCAUUCGUGAGGUUUGUUUCGUUGAUUCUUUGUAAAACGCAUACCAUUUGUGUAGGUUUUGCUGUUUUCUUAGUUUUUUGUAAAGUAAAAUAUAUAAAAAUAUGCUAAAUCUAUUAGAAUCAUAAAAAAUGAUAUAAGAUUGCUGUUGCGUGUAUUAAACUUACUUUUGUUUAAUAAACCGCUGACAUA